rnacentral:rRNA from 1 species
UAGGGAAUCUUCGGCAAUGGACGAAAGUCUGACCGAGCAACGCCGCGUGAGUGAAGAAGGUUUUCGGAUCGUAAAACUCUGUUGUUAGAGAAGAACAAGGACGUUAGUAACUGAACGUCCCCUGACGGUAUCUAACCAGAAAGCCACGGCUAACUACGUGCCAGCAGCCGCGGUAAUACGUAGGUGGCAAGCGUUGUCCGGAUUUAUUGGGCGUAAAGCGAGCGCAGGCGGUUUCUUAAGUCUGAUGUGAAAGCCCCCGGCUCAACCGGGGAGGGUCAUUGGAAACUGGGAGACUUGAGUGCAGAAGAGGAGAGUGGAAUUCCAUGUGUAGCGGUGAAAUGCGUAGAUAUAUGGAGGAACACCAGUGGCGAAGGCGGCUCGCUGGUCUGUAAAUGACGCUGAGGCUCGAAAGCGUGGGGAGCAAACAGG